rnacentral:misc_RNA from 1 species
GAUGAAGAACGUAGCGAAAUGCGAUACGUAAUGUGAAUUGCAGAUUUCAGUGAAUCAUCGAAUCUUUGAACGCACAUUGCGCCCGCCAGUAUUCUGGCGAGCAUGCCUGUUCGAGCGUCAUUUCAACCAUCAAGCCCCAGGCUUGUGUUGGAGCCCUGCGGCUGCCGCAGCCUCCCAAAACCAGUGGCGGGCUCGCUAUCACACCGAGUGCAGUAGUUUACUCUUCGCUCAGGGCGUGUGGCGGGUGCUAGCCGUGAAACCCCCAACUUCUCAAGGUUGACCUCGGAUCAGGUAGGAAUACCCGCUGAACUUAAGCAUAUCAAUAAGCGGAGGA